GAUGAACGCUGGCGGCGUGCUUAACACAUGCAAGUCGAACGGAAAGGCCCAAGCUUGCUUGGGUACUCGAGUGGCGAAAGGGUGAGUAACACGUGGGGGAUCUGCCCUGCACUUUGGGGUAAGCCUGGGAAACUGGGGUUAAUACCGGAUAGGACCCCACUUUGGGUGGUGUGGUGGAAAGUUUUUCGGUGUGGGAUGAGCUCGCGGCCUAUCAGCUUGUUGGUGGGGUAAUGGCCUACCAAGGCGUCGACGGGUAGCCGGCCUGAGAGGGUGUACGGCCACAUUGGGACUGAGAUACGGCCCAGACUCCUACGGGAGGCAGCAGUGGGGAAUAUUGCACAAUGGGCGCAAGCCUGAUGCAGCGACGCCGCGUGGGGGAUGACGGCCUUCGGGUUGUAAACUCCUUUCGCUAGGGACGAAGCGCAAGUGACGGUACCUGGAGAAGAAGCACCGGCUAACUACGUG
rnacentral:rRNA from 1 species